rnacentral:rRNA from 1 species
AGUGAACGCUGGCGGUAGGCCUAACACAUGCAAGUCGAACGGCAGCACAGUAAGAGCUUGCUCUUACGGGUGGCGAGUGGCGGACGGGUGAGGAAUACAUCGGAAUCUACUUUUUCGUGGGGGAUAACGUAGGGAAACUUACGCUAAUACCGCAUACGACCUACGGGUGAAAGCAGGGGAUCUUCGGACCUUGCGCGAUUGAAUGAGCCGAUGUCGGAUUAGCUAGUUGGCGGGGUAAAGGCCCACCAAGGCGACGAUCCGUAGCUGGUCUGAGAGGAUGAUCCGCCACACUGGAACUGAGACACGGUCCAGACUCCUACGGGAGGCAGCAGUGGGGAAUAUUGGACAAUGGGCGCAAGCCUGAUCCAGCCAUACCGCGUGGGUGAAGAAGGCCUUCGGGUUGUAAAGCCCUUUUGUUGGGAAAGAAAAGCAGCAGGUUAAAACCCCGCUGUUCUGACGGUACCCAAAGAAUAAGCACCGGCUAACUUCGUG